ACCGUCAGUUAGCCUACCACACACAUACACGGUUAUAACAUGUUUUGUUGUGACUCAUUCUGUUGUAGUAAACUAUAGCCUAAUCAUAGGCCUAUUAUGGAAGUACAUUUCCUUGGAAAGAUAACUGACAGUGCUUCUCCACCCAUGCAUAGGCUAUAGCCUACUCUAUUUUGAGAUCACACUCGCACCUGAUCUCGCAGGUAUGGCUACUGAACUGGAAGCAGCAAGAAUGAUGACAGUGACACUGGCAUAGGCCUAUAGGAUAUAGCCUACCUUUUGGGAGGAUGACUUGCAGGCAGAGACAAAUGAAUGGGUAAUCAAUAUUUAUUGAAAAUGAAAAGGGGCAACGCUCGCUCACCAUAGUAGCCUAACCUAUGUGCGAGUUGUGUCUUUUUCCUUUUCAAUGAUGAUUAUAUUUUUGGAUUGCACUUCGACUCACGUUGGUUGAGCUCCCUCCAAUUCUUUCCAUUAACAAUAUUUAUUUACAGACUCUGUAGUAAACUGCAGUCUAAACAUAUUUACGUUAAUUUCAUAUUCAAGUUUACUGCCACUUGAUUCUCCGCCCAUGUAGGCAGCCUACUCUAUUUCAAUGAGACUACAUAUACUAGGCACAAGGGUUGCAAAGGGUCGGAAACUUUCCGGGAAAUUUUCCGGAAAUUGUCCAUGGGAAGUUAAGCCGUGGAAUUUAGGGAAUUGUGCUUAAAUCAUCAAAAAAGUUAGUUUAUAACAGUGAACCUUUUUUUGUGGGAUACACAUAAGGCAACUAUAGGUCUUGUGGCAUAUUUUGGUUAAACUAUCCCCAAUUCAAUGGAAUUGCAACCCUCUGCAUGCAUAGUGCAUUCUUCCAACACAUGUGCAGUGCACUCUUCCAUCACAUGUACAGCUGAUUCUCAAGAUCUUGCACAAUAAUGAGACGCUAUAGCCCACACUACUACAAUGUCUGAGCCAAGGACUACAUGCUUUCUGGAAAAUGCCACGGGCACUAUCUGAUGUGUGGAGACAUUUCACUGCAGCUAAUGUAGAAGGAAAAGCUGUGUACAUUUGCAAAUACUGUGGCAAAUCAUAUGUGAAGAAUGCAACAAAGAUGCAGAAUCAUCUGGCCAUGUGCAUAAAAUUCGCUCAGCGCUCACAACAAGCAACCUCUGACAAAAGUCCCUCUACUUCUAUUCGAGGGGAAAAUGAUGAAUCAGACACCUUAUCCAUAGCCACAGCUCAUGGUCCUCCUGGAAUCAGAAGCUUUUUUGACUCAAUGGAGGAACGUAGUCAGAGAAAUGCUGAUGGAAUAAUUACCUACAUCAUCUCCACCCCUCAACCAGUAUUCUACAAGAGCACAGACAGAAGGGACAACAGACACACUGGUCUCUACAUUGCAGAUGAGCUGAAGGCAGUCAUCAAUGACCUUGGACUACAGAAGGUAUUUGCACUGGUGACAGACAAUGCUGCGAACAUAAAGGCUGCUUGGUCUAAAGUGGAGGAGUCCUACUCUCACAUCACACCAAUUGGCUGUGCUGCUCAUGCAUUGAAGCUGCUCCUCAAGGACAUCAUGUUACUGAAAACAAUGGAUACCCUCUACAGGAGAGCAAGGGAAAUGCUUAGGUAUGUGAAGGGUCAUCAAGU
rnacentral:lncRNA from 1 species